CUACGACCAUCCCUAAUACGUAAGUGGCUACGGCCGUCUCCAACGAAUAAAUGGCUGAGGCCGCUUAUGAAAUCUGAUCAAGGUCUCUAACUCGAUUCCGCCCAAAACUACCGCGCGAAAUGAUUAAGACCGGCAGCUCCAACGGUACCAUCUCCAACGCAUGAGCAGCUACGACCUUCCCAAGUCGCGACCAAAACGACAUCCAACCCCCUCUUCCGAAUGUGUGUGAGUCGUAUUCGGUAAAGUCCGCUCAUCGAGUUCGACCGAAUCCCGACCUCAAUAAGCGUAUGGACUAACUGUAUGGGUCAGAAUUACACUCACGGUAAUUAAUAAGAUUAAUUAGCCCAUAAACCAGUUUGGGUUAACAAAUGGUGCAAUUAAUCGUUAAUAAUAUGCAUUCAGGAAUCAUUCGACUUAAACCCAUGAGGCAACGACCUAUCCAUUACUAGCAGGCGUCCUCUCGACUCGACUACGGACGUCCAACGCCAGCUGGCAAAGUACACAUCUAUAAUAUAAAGAGAAAGAACCCUAAAAGGGGGUUGCUUCUUCUUCUUCGUCACUAUUCCCUAGAAAAGAGAGAAUAUCAUUGUAAGGCUCUGAACCUUUUCAGGGAGAGGCAGACCAAAUCAAUAUCAUCACUAAAAGAUCCUUACAUCUCUCUCCCUGUUAAAGAACAUGUCUUUUACACCUUUCAUUUUGGUCUUUUAAUUAUUACGAUCUGCUAUGAUUGGCACUUGAUUUAUUUCGAUUACGCAACGUAUAUGAUAACUUUGAGCUAAACAUUAUACUUUUUGGUUAAACAACUAUAACAUUGCGUCGAGCUGAGCUUGUUACGAUAAUGAAAUCGCAAUGCACUAAUAAAUUCCUAAUUUCAUCACCUAAAUUCUGUAUGUCUUUGCCCGUUUAAUUUUCUCAGACAUUUACGUUAAUAGCGCGUGAAUUGUAACAGGAGCAGCACUCAAUGCUAUCAUCUGGAUCGACUACGUUUGAGUCUAUGGAUGGUACAAACAGAGUUUGGAUAUCUCAUCAGAUUCCAAAAGCUAACGAAUAUGAUGACAUUUUUUUGUUUUUUUUUGGUUACUUUGUUGAUGAUUUUCUAUACUUUUUAUCUCCAUCUCAAUAAGUACAAGACCGCACCUUUGAGCGAUAGCAAUUACGUUCUCUGACAAAACAAUUCAAUAAACAUAACAAAAACUAAAUCGUCCGGCUGCUACUCGGAUAACCAUUACACUCAGACCGUCGCCGUCAAUUGCCACCUGAAACUUCUAAUUCCCCCUCCCCCCUCAUAACCGCCGGAAAAUAUCAGCCAAUCUCCCUUUGCCCCUAUUUAGCGCUCAUGGGUGAACAAACCCAAGUACAAGCAAAACCCGAAACCCAAACUCCACCCCAACCCCAUCUCCAACCCCAAUCUCUACCCGAUUCAGAUUCCACCCUUGUAUCCAGCUCUCCCGUUGAUCUUCCCCCAAACCCCUCCAACCCUUCCAAAAUCCCAAUUCGACCCCAGAAAAUCCGAAAACUCUCAUCCACCCCCUUCUCAAAAACCCCACAAACGACCGCAUCCUCCGCGACGCCAGCAUCCGCGAAGAGUCGCCGAAAGAGCGCGCCGAAAUCAUCAUCUAGGGUUUUGCCACAAAUCAUCAAACCGUUAUCAGCUAACGGCGAAAUCGACAAUGCACUCUUACACCUCCGUUCAGCCGACCCGCUUCUCGGUUCCUUAAUAGACACACUUCCGGUCCCUCAAUUUGAAUCACACCAUUCUCCGUUUUUAGCCCUGAGCAAGAGCAUUCUGUACCAGCAACUAGCUUAUAAAGCAGGCACCUCAAUUUACACGCGCUUCGUGUCUCUUUGUGGAGGAGAGGAUGCCGUUUGCCCUGACAUAGUCCUCUCCCUAUCCGCUCAACAGCUCAAGCAGAUUGGUGUCUCGGGACGAAAGGCUAGUUAUUUAUAUGACUUAGCUAAUAAGUUUAAAAAUGGGAUUUUGUAUGAUGAUGCUCUUGUAAAGAUGGAUGAUAAGUCAUUGUUUACCAUGCUUUCGAUGGUGAAGGGUAUUGGUUCUUGGUCAGUGCAUAUGUUCAUGAUUUUUUCACUGCACAGGCCGGAUGUUUUGCCUGUUAGUGAUUUGGGGGUCAGGAAAGGUGUCCAGUUGUUAUACGGAUUAGAGGAAUUACCUAGGCCGUCACAGAUGGAGCAAUUGUGCGAGAAAUGGAGACCAUAUAGGUCAGCUGGGGCGUGGUAUAUGUGGCGGUUUGUGGAGUGGAAAGGGACUCCAACUACUGCUGCAGCUGCAAUUGACUCUGGUAAUGUGCAGCCAUUGCAGCAAAUUCAGACAGGACAGGAGACACAUCAACAUCAGUUGCAGCUCUCGAGCCUAUAAAUGGCAUUGUGAAUCUUGGGUAUUUGACUAUUUUCCGCUUGAAGUAAUAAUAGUCGUAAAGUCUAGAACCUGUCAUUGUGAUUGAACUUCGAUUGCCUUCCCGUUGCUUUUAAAUUUGAAUUCUUUUGCUGUCUGUUAGUUGCUCAUGAGAUAAUCUGCAAAUGGCUUGUUCUGUGUUUUACAUUCAGUGCCCCGUUAGACAACAACCUGCAUACAUAUAUUGAAGUAAUUUCUUAUCUCAUUUUUAAUGAUAAUGACAAGAGGGGCUUGCUCUGAUGGUAAGCAACCCCCACUUCCAACCGAGAGGUUGUGAGNNNNNNNNNNNNNNNNNNNNNNNNNNNNNNNNNNNNNNNNNNNNNNNNNNNNNNNNNNNNNNNNNNNNNNNNNNNNNNNNNNNNNNNNNNNNNNNNNNNNNNNNNNNNNNNNNNNNNNNNNNNNNNNNNNNNNNNNNNNNNNNNNNNNNNNNNNNNNNNNNNNNNNNNNNNGAAUGGACCUUGGGCCUAACUCAACCCCAAAAGCUAGCUUAUGAGGUGAGGAUUGCCCAAGCCAUAUAAGGAGAUCAAGGACCUCAAAUCCCUCCGACGUGGGACAACUCCACACCCCCCACGCCCAGAUCUCUGGAGCGUGGACAACAUAAAUGGAGGUCCAACAUCGGUAACAAUAAUUGGGACGGGCCUGGCUCUGAUACCAUGAUAAAAAUGGACCUUGGGCCUAACUCAAUCCCAAAAGCUAGCUUAUGAGAUAAGGAUUGUCCAAGCCAUAUAAGGAGACCAAGGUCUAUUCUUACCAUGGUAUCAGUGCCAGACCCAUUCCAAUUAUUGUUACCGAUGUUGGGCCCCAAUUUAUGUUGUCCACGCUCCGGAGAUCUGGGCGUGAGGGGGGUGUUGAGUUGUCCCACAUCGGAGGUAUUUGAGGUCCUUGGUCUCCUUAUGGCUUGGACAAUCCUCACCUUAUAAGCUAGCUUUUGGGGUUGAUGAUAUAGCUUUCGAAAUUAUCAAAAUGUUCAAACUGGAAUCAAACAGCUUGUUGUAUGACUAAAGAAGUUUCCUAAACUUUCUCCAGUGGUUGUAGUUAGGAAAUUUUGUAUAUAUAUCAAACUAUCUUAAAUUCUUUAGGUUUUGGAUGUUGAGUUUGGUUUGGAAGUCAUAUUGGAGCUUAGGUGUAUCAACAUUGGAAAAAAAGAUUCAUCUGGAAAAAAAGAAACGUAUUGAAAGAAGAGUAGACUUUUUACCUUUUGUAAGACAUAUGCUACGGGAAAUGACGUUGGUUCGUGCUUGGUUGUGGAAAUUUUAUGUAUCUAUAUGUAAAAUCAGGUGACUGCAGAGGGGAAAAAGAUGGAGUAUAUACAUUAGUGAGCAUAAAGUGGGCUGCAGUAUGUAGCACCAAAUGAAGGAAGGGGGAGAGCAGAUAUGGUUGUUUUAGUGGUUGAAACAAAGUAGGGUACCACGUUAUACAAAAUGUCAAAGUGUUUGAUUCAUAUAAGCCCUUAAUUUAUGGUGCGUUGAGCUUUACGAAAUGUUGGAUAGUGGUGCGUAAAAUUGAAAAUGUAAGCUUACAUUUUACUUGUAUGUAUUAAAUAUGAUUGCUGAUUUUCAUAAACUUAUUCAUUAGUAAGGUUGUCCCAGUGUUUUAGAGAGCGCAAAGCGCAAAAAAGCGACAAGGGCUCGCCUCGCUUCAAAAGCGAAGCGCAAAGCGAAGUGCACGCUUUUUUGUACAUCUUUUCGUGCAAAAGCUCUAACUGCACCUCGAACAUUUGUAUUCUUUUCAUUGUAAUCUUGUUGCAAAAGAUUCAUAGAACAUUUGUAUUCUUUUCAUUAACUCUGACCAUAUCGCCAAGCCGGGUCUUUCUCUUUCGAACUUUGAGACAUUUUAAUAUCCCUANNNNNNNNNNNNNNNNNNNNNNNNNNNNNNNNNNNNNNNNNNNNNNNNNNNNNNNNNNNNNNNNNNNNNNNNNNNNNNNNNNNNNNNNNNNNNNNNNNNNNNNNNNNNNNNNNNNNNNNNNNNNNNNNNNNNNNNNNNNNNNNNNNNNNNNNNNNNNNNNNNNNNNNNNNNNNNNNNNNNNNNNNNNNNNNNNNNNNNNNNNNNNNNNNNNNNNNNNNNNNNNNNNNNNCAAUAAUAAUUUAAUUUUAUAUGCUGAAAUAAAAUAAUAAAUAAAAUACAAUAAUUAAAAGGAAAAAUGCUAAAAAUAUAUAAACACAAAGGAAAAAGAAAAUAAUAAAUGCUGAAGAUAUAUAAACACAAAGGAAAAAGAUUUUUUUUUUUGUUCCUUCCCCAUUCUAACAGAGAGAAAAAUGAAGAAGAAGAUGAAGAAGAGUGACUGGUCGACUUGGUCGAUUGGUCUGAAGAAGAAAGAAAAAUAAAAAAACGAGAAGAAAAGAAAAGAAAUUACCUGGGUUGGUUCUCGUUGACUGAUUGUGCACUGAAGAAGAAGAUAACCCUAGCUUUUCUUUUUUUGACAAUUGAAGAAGAUCGAUCCUCUAGUUUCUGAAGAAAGAGGGUUUUGUCAUUUAGGGUAUGUUUUUUUUCAGACCUCAAAGUUUUUUUUUAAAAAAAAAGACCCCUGCCUGCGCUUUCUUCAAUUAAGUGAUCGCUUUUGCGCUUUGAUCGCUUCGUCGCUUCGUCGCUUCCUCGAGUUUUCUAGUGAAGCGUGCGCUUCUGCUAUUCGCAUCGCCUCAAGGAGUUUAAAUCGACAGACCCUCGCAUCGCCUCGCUUGGCGCUUUAAGCGACGAAGCGAGCGCUUUUUCAAACACUGGGUUGUCCAUUCAUUAACUGCACCAUAUUGCUAUUUAAAAUGUUCAUUGCUGUCUUUUCCAUAUUUGUUACCAUAUUGCUAUUUAAAAUGUUCAUUGCUGUCUUUUCCAUAUUUGUUUUGGUCUAAACCAAGACAAACUUAUUCUUUCUUCUAAGUUCUAGCUAUUGAAUUUCUACGUUUAUUCUGGUCAUUUGGAAAGUAGAGAACCCAAUUUAGGUUUACUUAAUAUGCAACCUAUUAGCGCACAUUUCUCGUGCAUGUCUUUAAUAGGUUCACUAGCCACAGAACGCAAGGGUGUGGUCUAGUGUUCGAUAAAGUGGACAGCGAACCAUGAGGUCUCAGGUUCAAAUCUCAAUGGAGGCAAAAAAAUACUAGGUGAUUUCUUCACAUCUGCCUAAGGCUUGGUGGAUAGAGUUAUUCGACACCUGUGUUGGUGGGAUGUUGCAGGUACCCGAUGGAAUAGUCGAGGUAUGCACAUGCUGGCCGAAGCACCACCAUCAUAAAAAUUUUUAGGUCCACUAGCCAAAUCGAAGGUUCUCUUUGACCAAGGCCAAUCUUUAUUAUUAACCCCCCCCAACCCCAACACACACAAAAAGUUAUUUAGAUAAUAGUUUAUAAUGCCAAUUGACCGUAACCCCAAAAGAUACGACAAUCUAUUUGCUAAUGGACAAUUUCUUGAUUUCAUUUGCUGGUGGAGUUUGCGAUGAACUCUACCUAUGUUAGUUUUGCAAAUUAUAGUUGGUUUUAAAUCCAAAUAGAUAAAGGUUUAGUAGGUCGACAGCCAAAGUAAAAUAGGGCUACGGAAUAUUCAAUUUGUUGGGACCUAGCCACCUAGGCAAGUCUUUGAAUCGAGCAGAAUGGAUAUAGGAUGAAUGGAUAUAAGAUAAUGGAUAUAGUCGACCUCAAAUGAUUUAGAAUUAAAGCAUUGUUUGAUUGAUUGAUAGCUAAUAGACACUUAUGUUGCUGAAUUAAUAGGUUGAUGUGGGAACUAAUGUAGAGGGUGUGUGGAUUCGCUUUUAAAAAGUAGCUUAUAAACCAAAAGUCAUAAGUUGGUAAUACACAACUUUUGGAUUUUGACUUAUAUUUGUACUUUUCAUGCGUAACAGUAAGUGCUUUUAAGCACUUUUUAUCAUUGCCAAACAACAUAAAAACUAAAAAGUGCUUAAAAAGCCAGUAAGCACUUAAAAUAAGCCAAUUCAAACACCCUCGUAGUCUAAUGACUUGACUACUAAUGUUACUGCUACAAAAAUAAAUGCGUAUAGGACUGUCGCACCAUUGGAUCCUAGCAUUCGUGUGGGGGAACAAGGAAAAAUAAACACAGAUCCAAUGGUGUGAAGAGCGUGAAGCGAGGAGAAGCGACAAGCUCCUUUGUGCUUAAAGCGAGAAGCACUCGCUUUAUUCAACCUGCUACGCUUCACAUCACAGAAACCCCCGAGGUCUCGCUUCUCGCUUUAAGCGCUUCAGCGCUUUUCACAACAAUGCACAUAUCUAAAUCAGCCAUGGCAAGUUUUCCAAGACAAGAAGGCGACAAGUUAGACAAAACCGUGAAAGAUUUUCAGUGGAUGAUUUUAGUCAAUGUUGGUGAGGUGGAAGACCUUGAGGUCUAGGAUUUUAAUGGCCGAAACCAUCUGGCAGUGAGGUACAGAUCCUGGGGCAAGGAUCCUAAAUUCUUUCUGUGCCUUAUGAAGAGGUUAGAGACAAAUGGUAAAUUUUUUGAGAGAGCAUGCUCUUUGCACUUGUGUAUCUGUUGUUGUAAUGAUGGUCAUGUACAACAAGGCUUAGUCCUUUAAUCAUUCCGUACCUAAGGAAAUUGCUUAAUUAAACACCAUUAACUAGUUGCUUGAUAGUAGUUGCCUAAUUACUCCGACUUAGUGAAUGGUUGCCAACUUGCCCCAGCUACUCUAGGCCUUUUUACCAAUUUUCUGAGGUAAAAUAGAUUCUUAAGAAAACAAUAUGACCCUUUUUUCUUUGUUUGUUUAAUUUAUGUAACCAGGCCAUUCUGGUCCGAUCUGCCCCGGGCCAGCUACAAUUUCCAGGCUGGAUCUCUCUGAUAUACUUUUAAUUCACCUUUAAUUAAUUUUUCUACAUUUUCUCUCAAGCAAAGGGUGUGUCCCACAUCGGAGGGAUUUGAGGUCCUUGGUCUCCUUAUAUGACUUGGGCAAUCCUCACCUNNNNNNNNNNNNNNNNNNNNNNNNNNNNNNNNNNNNNNNNNNNNNNNNNNNNNNNNNNNNNNNNNNNNNNNNNNNNNNNNNNNNNNNNNNNNNNNNNNNUUAGUUUUUGGGGUUGAGUUAGGCCCAAGGUCCAUUCUUAUCAUGGUAUCAGAGCCAGACCUAUCCCAAUUAUUUUUACCGAUGUUGGGCCCCCAUUUAUGUUGUCCACGCUCCAAAGGUUUGGGCGUGAGGGGGGUGUUGAGUUGUCCCACAUCGGAGGGAUUUGAGGUCCUUGGUCUCCUUAUAUGGCUUGGGCAAUCCUCUCCUCAUAAGCUAGCUUUUGGGGUUGAGUUAGGCCCAAGGUCCAUUCUUAUCAGGGUGCAAACACACUCUUGGAACAUUUAACCUUAUUCACUAAGCUAAGAUUAGUUGCCUUUACUCUCUAAGCUCUAUUUAUUAAUGAACAAAUCAAUUAUGCGAAGUAAUAUCAUUAACUCAAUCGAAGUAAUAGCCUUUAAUCUCUCAACCUUUUUAGAAGAUUUAGUUGUAUAAAUGACACUCCAAAUGGAUAUUCCAGAAUUGAUGAGUGUUUGGUGAGAAAUGGGAGGACUGUUAUUCUCUUGAGAGAUUGAGAUUCUCAGUCCAAUUAUUACACCUUUUUGCAAAGUUGGCUGUUCCUAUCCUCCUACAUGAAUGAGGUGUGUAAUCAAUUAGAACCCUCUUAGGUUAAAAUAUUUCUUUUGGUUUUGUGCACCCCUUUCUUAAUUUGCUCAGUUUUUCGCUACUGUUGGUAUAUCAGCAUUGCUUUUCUUGCACUGUUUUUUCCUCUUUUGCCGAUGUUAUUCAGUGAUUCGUUAAUUUUCUUUCCAUAAGGAUCUUUAUGGAAGAAAAGGGGGCUGGAUUAGAGCUGAAGUAAUACAGUCGAUUAAUGUAUCAUGCCCAAUUGGUGUGAGAAUGAGGUGUGGUUGAUUGAUUGGAGUUUCCACCUUGUGCUCUAUUGACUUGUACUAUAUUCAUUGCUGUCUAUGUUUGAGGUUUUUAUUCGGAUUACCAGGAUAUUGAUCUUUGCAUCAUUUAACACUUUGGUUUCAGGGCUUGCAUUUGGAGCCUAUGACCGAAAGUGUUAAGAUGUCAGACUAUUCGCUGAGGCUGGAAUGUGUAUGCAAAUAAAGAAUUGGUUUCCUAAGAUGCUAUGCACCAAAAUUCUGUGGCAAGUGUUAGUAUUAUGUUAAGCUAGGUGCUGUAAAGGAAUGUGCUAUCUAUGGCAGAGCCUCAUUUGUUUGAUUGGUGUGUGGGACUGCACUUUCUUCGUAUAGAGGUAAUACAAUGCUCACUAUUUCUACCCCAUUCCUUAAUUCUCUUGUCCCAUUUUAAUGUAAAAUUACGAGAAUAAACGGCUUCAAACUGUGUUGUGAUUUUUAGUGACGAGGUAUAAUAUAAAUAAACUUUACUAUGAUAGAGAUUCAGCACUUCUCUUUGUUUCUAUCCCUUUUACUCUUGUUUUUGCUGUUGAGAUCCAUCUCGUUUAUCCUGUGUGGGUUUUAAAUGGCAGCAUUCGUCCAAUAGCUUCAGUUCCAACCAAAAGUAGUACCUUUCAGAAUAUAAGGUAGGUGCACGUUAUGAGUCUAAAUCCUGUCAUGAACCAAGUAUGGUAUAUUAGUGUAGAAGAGCUAAAGGGGUGAACCAACUAUCAAGUGAGUGUUGAGACCCGUUUGGCUGUAGAUUUUGCCAAAAUAUAUUUGGGUUUUUUUUUUGGCAAAUACAUGUUCGGCCAUAGAUUUUAUCCACAUUUUGGCAAAUUUCCCAAGCCCAAAACCCAAAUCUCAAAACCAGCUCAAUAGCUUGUUUUGGCCCAAAAUAUCCCUAUUACAUCUUUUUAAAAUUGUCCCAAACUUUUGUAUUUUAUUAAAGAGCCCAACAUUUAUUAUUUAGUAAUAAUGUUGCUUUGUCUUCUCGGUCAUCUGAUAGUAUAUUAUGUACAUGAUAAAAAUAAAUAUUUUGUACCAAAUUUAUUUAUGUUCAGGAUUAUGAUUUCCUUCAUUGAGCCGAGGGUUGAUUGGAAACAGCCUCUCUGCCCUUUCGGGUAGGGGUAAGGCCUGUGUACAUAUUACCCUCCCCAGACCCCACUUUGUGGGACUAUACUGGGUAGUAGUUGUUAUUGUAUUAUGGUUUGCCAUAGUAUAGUGAAUGCUAUUGAUAAAAGUACUGUUGGGUAUUUGUGAUAGUCUUUAGAACUUGUGGUAUUAGUCAUGUUUCAUGUUUUUCAAAAAAAAAAGUGAAUGUUUUGAAACCGUAUGUCCAAACACAUUUUCAUCUUCAAACUAAAUUUUACCCAAAUAAAAAUUUUCAAAACAAAUUUGGGAAUCUAUGACCAAACGCCUGCUAAAAACAGCAGAUUUAUUGAUGAUCAAGAAGAAAUUAUCAGGCAUAGCACCAGUGGUAUGAGUGCUUGUCACUUUGGACUUCAUUGUACGUUUGGCUUGUUUGUUUUCCCUCCGGCUUGCGGUGUCUGAAAUUGGACAUCAUAUGUGAAUAGGUUUUCUCAGCUCAAGCACUCACAAUAACAGCACACAUUUAAAAAGCAGUGGUUUUUAUAAUUGUAAAGAACGAGUGUGUCAAUCUCAUCUCAUCUCAUCUUCAAGGCUGCUAUAUUUUACCUUCUACUAAAAUUGUUAAGUUUGACUACAAGAAAAGUGAGUUAAUGGAGUGGUAAAACCUCACAUGCAUUCUGUGUCACAUUAAAUCAAACCAAUGAAUGCAAUACAUAGGUCUUUUAUUUAUGUCAUAUUUAUUACUUAAUCAUGGUCAAAUGCAUGAAGUGAAAUAAUGUAUUAUCGCUAUUACGCAAAACAAAGGUACCUUAACAGAAGUACAUUUUUUCAAUAUACACAGCAAACCUUUUAUCUUGAGAAAGGAAAAUAAAUUAAGACAAACUGACGGAAAAAAGUAUCAAAUUAAAUUGAAUUGGAACUAAAAUAAUAACUAUCCGUAGCUCAGAGACAAGUGACAAAAAGGUUAUGGGGAUCACUUGAUAUACAUGAGUCUCGCUUGUAGAAACCAAACGAUGAUUAAAAGAAAACAAAAUAGAGUAAAUUGGAUAGUUUCUGAUAAGCUUGGCGACGUAAUUCAACCCUAAAAACUAAUUAAGAAUUAUCUAAAACAAUAUAAAAGGGCAGGCGUUGGUAGUAGUGGCAGACGUUAGAGAAUCACGCUUGUUUCAUUCAUCUCCCAAGUUGCUAUCACUCAGUCAAAUUUGGUAUUGAACCAUGCAACAAAUUAAGAACGCUCUAGAUUAAAGCAAAGUGAAGCCUUUGCCUUAGCCCCAAAUAAUCAAGGCCCCAAAAAUUAAAAAGCACUACUAUAUUAUUAUUAUAUUAUAUAUAUACUCCAUAAAUUAUAUUUAUAUAAUUAUUAAUAAAAAAAUUAAAAUUUUAAUAAUUUUUACUAUUUGGUAAACAUAAUAUUGAGUGAGUUAAUUAGAUAAUUUUUUCUCACUAAAUUAAAUAAUAUAUUUAUCUUCUCAUCAAUUUUAUUAUUUUUUCUUUAUGUAUAGUCUUAUUUCAUGGUUCUUACGAUUUUACUUUCUAAUUUCAACUCCAAUUCUCUAAAUUAAUUCUUUCUUUUUGUCACAUUUGAUUGAUCCACACACCAGAAAGCAAAUUCUUUUGAGUCUCAUCUUUUUUAACUAAGAAAUCGCCGAGGAAAAUGUCGCAAGGUUAAAAAAUGAUGAAAAAUGGGCUCACCCUUUACCAUUUUCAUUUAACGGAAGGAUUCAAUAUCAUAUGACGAGCGCCUAACUCAUACAACAUGAGUUGUGCUCUCACCACUAUAUCAAAGUCAUGUAGGUUUUUUUUGUGUCUCAAUAUUAUAUGAAUUUUGUAAAGACGUUUCAGGUUUUUUUAAUAUAUUUUAGUUUAAGCCACCAGUUUUGUUGAGCCGCCUCUCAUUGACAAUCAAUAAUUAUUUACAAACUACUGCCCCACUAUAAAAGUACUGUUGAACCAACUUCAUUCACAUUUGGUAACUGAAUGACACACUCACUACCUUUAUUGCUCUUGUCAUUGUUGCCUUAGUUGAAGUGAGAUUCUAUAAAUUUUAUUGAGAAUGUCAGGGACGGAUAAGUGGCUCUAGUAGGAGACUAGUAAAGCCUUGAUUUAGGUCCCCUAAAAUGUCUAAUAAUGAAUUUUUAUAAUUUCAUUUCAAAUUAGACUAUAUUAUUGUUUAUAGAAAAAAUAAUAAAGUACAAAAAGAAAUUAUAAAAAAGAAAGAAAGGUAUCUACUCUUAAACAGUAAAAAUAUUUUUUAAAACUUCGAAUUUAACUACUUAAAUCUUCAUAUUAGUAAAUAUAUUUUUUACAACAAUAUCAAAGGUAACAUAUUGCAAAUACAUGUCUAAUACUCAUAUAUUUUAAAUUUUCUUUUCUAAUAUAAAUAAUAAUAUUACUAUGUAAAAAUAAAGACUUUAUAUCAUUUAAGAAUAUAUGCUAUAUACAACAAGUAUGAAAAAAUGGCAAGAAUAAUUUUUUUGCAUAUAUGUAUCUAUUUAAAGCAUGCUUUUGGGCUCUAAACUAUCCAAACUUAAAGCAUAAUAGCAGCUACGCAUGGAAUCUCGUCACCUCGUCCAUACGUAGCCCCUGAAAAUAGGAGUACAUAAGUUAUGGGGACAAUUCCCUCUUACAAGGUUAGAAAAGAAACUCACAUUGCUCCAAAUUUCCAUAACCGACUUCCAAGCCCUUCCAAUGACCCCAAUUGAUGCACAACACCCUAAAACUAUUCAAAUAACGGGCAAGACAAUAAAAAUUAACUCUAGUACUUGUAACAAUUCAAAUUAUAUAAGUUCCCAACUCCGCUCGAAAAAUUGACCAAAAUGCCCUCGGGCUGACGUGCCCGAAUUUUAAAAUUUCUCGAAGAUAAACUCUACCCAUAGAUUUACCAACUCAAAUAUACAACUUUCUCUAAUUUUCAUGCUCAAAUUCAAGGUCUUCCCCAAAAUUUCAAAUUAUACUAAUUUUUCAUGUCUAAAUCCAUGUAAGAUCACAUAUUUAACUUAAAAAUAGGAAGAAAUCACUUACCUAGUGGUUCUUGGUGAAAAUUCCUCAUUGAGAUCUACAAAAUCGUCCAAUCCAAAUGAAAGAAAUGGGCCAAAACUCGUGUUUAAAACAAUCGGUCCAGGCUUUAUCGAGUUGUACCUUGCGUUAUGCAGUUGUACAUCCUAUUAUAAUUUUUUCAUGCUAUGCACCUUUUGUUAAAACGCUCAUAACUUCUUGUGAAAAUAUCUAAAUGGAAAACUGUUUGAAGAUUUAGAAACUAGGCUCGAAAAUCUUUCAAAUGAUAGGUUGUAAACCAUAUAACGCUUCUAUAUUCCGAGAUAUGAGCUUCUAAAGUCGGAUCCAUGCAUCAAAAAAUUCUGUCAAAACUGCUCCACCAGCCAUCUUCAAUCGAUCAUAACUUUCUGAUAAAAUGACCAAAUCAUGAAUGGUUUAACUUUAUGGAAACUAGAAUGCAAGGGCAACAACUUUUAUAGUUUGCAAAUGUUCAGAUUUCUUAUAGAUUCCGAGAUAUAAGCUUAUAAAUUCAGCUCCGCGGUUGCACUAGUUGCUGUCAAAACAGCCUUCUGCAGAAAUUUCAGCAACUCUUUAGCCCGAAAUUCAUUCCGCUAACCUUCUGAAAUCCACCCGAGGCCCUCGGGACCUUAACCAAUUAUACCAACAUGUCCCAAAAUAUGAUAUGAACUUGCCCGAGGCCUCAAAUAACAUCAUAUAACGUCGAAAUCAUAAAUCGUACUUCAAUCCAAACUUUAUAAACUUUGAAAUUUAAAACUUCUACAUUGGAUGCCGAAACUUAUCAAAUCACGUCCGACUGACCUCAAAUUUUUUAAACAAGUCACAUUUGACAUUACGUACCUACUCUAACUUCCAGAAUUUGAAUCCAACCCUAAUAUAUAAUAAUUCUAUUUCCGGUCAAACUUCUAAAAAACUUUCAAAUUUCUAUCUUUAGCCAAAUGACUCUAAAAUGACCCACGGACCUCCCAAUUCACUUCCGAUCGCGCUCCCAAUACCAGAAUCACCAUACAUAGCUACUCCAAGACUCGAAAUCCCAAACAAAUAUUGAUAACACUGAAAUGCACUUCAACCCAAACUUACGAAAUUUCUUCCAAAAUGCUAACUUCCACAAUGGGUGCCAAAACACUCCAAGGUCAUCCAAAACCCGAUCCUGGCAUACUCCCAAGUCCGAAAUCAUCAUACGAACCUACUAAAACCUUCAGAUUUCAAUUUUGUGGUUGUUUACUCUAAAAUCCAAUCUUAGUCAAUUCUUUCAACUUAAAGCUUCCGAAAUGAGAAUUCUCUUUCCAAAUCAACUCCGAAUUCUCUGAGAUUUAAUUCUAACCAUGCGUACAAGUCAUAAUACCUGAAUGAAGCUGCUCAUGGCCCCAAACUGUUGAAUGACGCGCUAGAGCUCAAAACGAACGAUUGAGUCGGUACAACUAGAUUUACAAUUGUUACUUAUCUCAAACUGAUUGAAAUCAUGCUCCAUGAUGCUUUUGACUGUCGAACCGACCUCCAAUGCCUCGAAUCUAGCCACAAAUAAUUCAAUAUAAUCAACACGAGCUAAGGGGCCAAUCCCAUAAGAAAAUACUAAACUUAAGGUCAAAAGUCAAAAAGUCAACUCAAAAGUCGGGCCCUGAGUCCACAUCACAAAAUCCGACCAAAGUCACAAAAUCCGAAAACUCAUUCGAUUACGAGACUAACCGUGCUAGUUUCACUCAAAUCUGACUCCAAAUCGACAUUCAAAUCUCAAAAAUUUAUUUUAUAAAAUUUCCAUAAUUAUUCCCAAAUUUCCACCUCAAAGUACUAAUCAAAUGAUGAAAUCAAUGAUAUAUUCAUGUAUAUUAACCAAAUAUGAGUUAGAAUCACUUACCUCAUUGAAUUUCUCGAAAAACCCUCAAACAAUUGCCACACACCGGGCUCCACAUGUCCAAAAUGUGAAAUAAUGCCCUAAUCCCUGUUUAUAUAGUGCAUUCUUUGAUCCCCACUACGCGUUCCGCAAAAAUCAAGCUCGGCCACGAAAAUGCAACCACCGGGGUCGCGAAAAAGUAGCGCGGUCCGCGCUUCUGGUGGCUGCAGUGAUAGGCCUAAAUUUUUUGGCCAUAAUUUUCUCUAUAUAUGUCCAAACAUUAAUUUCUUUAGUUUUCUGGAAAGUAGACACAAAGGGCUACAACUUUAUUUUUGAAUCAUCUUAAAGUUCCUUAUAGAUCAAAUGAUAUAGGUUUUUGACUUCGGACCAGUGAAUCUACAGAUCUUCCUUGAGCGCCUCUGCGACCACAUUUUUGCUGUCCACGCCCCCUCCUCCAUGGUCAGCAAAAUUUUGCCAAGGUCCGCAUUUUCAAGGCACCAGAACCAUGCCGGAGUUUCAAAAAUGCCCGGACUCGUUCAAAACUCACCCGAAACACACUCGUCCGGAACCUCAACCGAAGGCACCAAAAAGUUAUAUAUCAAUAUACGAACUUAGUAAAACUCUCAGAACUCUCAAAUCAACAUCAAAAUACCAAAUUAACCUCGGAUUCAAGCCUAAGAACUUUUAAACUUCCAAGUUCCGCAAACGAUGCCGAAAAAUAUCAAACCUCAUCCGAAUAACCUCAAAUUUUACACACUCACCACAAAUGACAUACGAAUCUACUCCAAAUCAUGGAAUUCUAUUACGACUCCGAUAUUAAAUUUUCCAUUGCAGCCUGGGAAUCAUCAAAUUUCAAACUUGGUCAAUUCAAACCAAGUUGUCAUGAGUCAUUCUUACCAUAAAACUACCUUUCAAAUUUAAAGUUUCAAGUUGAGAAUCAUUCUUCCAUAUCUAUUCCGAUUAACCUGAAAACAAAAUCGAUGGUUUAUAUAAGUAAUAAUAUAUCAUACGGGGCUAGUUAUGCCCGAGAACUGAUGAGCGAAGUGCAAAUACUCAAAAUGACCGAUCGGGUCAUUACAGUUUGAUUGCACAAGUGUAAUUAAACAGUUAGAUUAAAUUUUUUAUGAAGUAGUUAUCAAAAUUUAAAAGUUAAUAUAAUAAAUAUAUAACUAUAAAUAAAAAGAGAAAAUAUAUAAAGUAUCUAUUAAUCUUAUCCGAAAAAAUUAUUUACACACCUAAAUUUUAUGGGCGACCUUUUACUCCACUAUUCUAAACUUAGGUAACUUUAGCACUCCCUUCAAAAUACUGAACCAGUUUUGUUGUCGGUGUGUUUACACGCGCCAUACCAUAAAUCCAUCAACUGUCAUGGGAAAAAGACAAACUACUGUUGCUUGCACCUCUGGAAGGCUUUCUCCAUGUUGAUCUUCUCUAACUCGUGCUAUGGCACUCUUCACAAUUUGUAUUUUGAAUAGAAAUGUCACAUACUAAAGAAAAUAAAAGGUAAUUUAUGGCAUCACCUAGGAAAAAUUCCACCAUAGUCAUCCAUCUCACCUUUGGUGCAGAUGACUAAAACCCAAAAAACUAUCAGCAUCUCCAAAAAGAGAAACUAAUAAGGCAAAAUUCCAAAAUUUUGAGUAUUUGUAGAAACAUGCCGAACUAAUAGUACAUAUUUUUUUGCUAUUCUUCCCUUCUUCGGGUCAUCAUCUUCUUCAAUUAUCUUCAAAUUCAACUCCUCCAAGAGCCUCGCCAUAUUCCCCUCGCAACACGGGGUUCGCCGGAAAGUUUGGUUCGCUGGAAAGUUUGGUAUCAUCUGUACCAUAUUUUUUGACAAGUUGGGUUUGUGCUCUUAAUUCCCUUUGUCUGGGUUUUUUAGUAGAAUUUUUGUCACUUUAUUUCUACUAGUUUUGUAUUAGAAGAGUGAACAAAAUCUGAGAUAUAAAGCCACUAGUUAAGGACCUAUAAAUUUUCUCUGGUCGAAAAAGUUUCCGGUGACACCUUGUCUUCUUUUCAACACUAUUUCUAGUUCUAAAGAGGUAUUUUUCAGCAAAUAGAUGAAAAUCGAAUGGAGAAAAUCUCAAUUGAAGAAGGGCGGAGAUAAGAAUAAUGUCACCGGAAAAGGAUAUUUUAGCCAAACUAGAGCCAUUGGUUCACUCUAUCUGUUGAACGAAGAAAGAGAAAGAAAAACGAAAAGAAAAUUAAAAUGAAUAAGAAAAAAGAAAAAAAUAAUAUUAAGUUAAUUAGUUAUAAUAUCCCAUAGGAAAGUGACAGUUGGACCAUUAAAUUUGUUUUAAGUUAUUUUUUUUUGUCUUCAUGCGAAGCUACAAAAUGAACUACACGUCUUACUACAGGUCAUCACUGAAGGGGGUAUUAAAUUCACUCAAGUUUAGAAUAGUGGGGUAAAAUGUCACCCGAAAAGUUUAGGUGUGUAAAUAAUUUUUUCGGACAAGUUUAAUGUGUACUUUAUAUAUUUUCUCUAAAUUUUUAUAAGUAUAAAUCAUAUUAGAUUUGGUAUUUAAGAUUGAUAUUUUUCUUAAAUAUACAUUAAUUAGUAAUCAUAUAUUUAUAACUAAUAUUAUAAGAUGUAUGUUUUUAGUUUAUAUAAUAAAUUAAACUAAAUAGUAUUAAUUUGGNNNNNNNNNNNNNNNNNNNNNNNNNNNNNNNNNNNNNNNNNNNNNNNNNNNNNNNNNNNNNNNNNNNNNNNNNNNNNNNNNNNNNNNNNNNGAGUCUUUCUCUGCCGUCAACUCGACGUCGUCGUCACCUGCAAGAUAAGGCCAAAAACUUGACUUUACUAAACAAGCGAGAAAGGCCCUUUCUAUCUAGAAAUAGAAAGUGCUUCGAAAGGCGCCGGCUACCUUCUUACUGACAGCACAGCUAGGUGCUGGCACUCAAUUAGUAGCGCUGGCACGUCACUCGGCUCCUCGGCUUACGCAAGAUAUCGAAUUGGAUCCCUUUCAUAGAUGGGAAUUGAUGAAUUAAGGAAGCAGGAGUGCGUUGACGUCCCAUCGAGUUAGCUAGUUAAGGGUGAAAGGGAUUUAGGAAUGAAUAGCAGGCAANNNNNNNNNNNNNNNNNNNNNNNNNNNNNNNNNNNNNNNNNNNNNNNNNNNNNNNNNNNNNNNNNNNNNNNNNNNNNNNNNNNNNNNNNNNNNNNNNNNNNNNNNNNNNNNNNNNNNNNNNNNNNNNNNNNNNNNNNNNNNNNNNNNNNNNNNNNNNNNNNNNNNNNNNNNNNNNNNNNNNNNNNNNNNNNNNNNNNNNNNNNNNNNNNNUUCCUUAAGGUUACAGGUGAAGCUGACUUCCUGCGGUAGCCCCUUGGACCUUAGCCUCUUAAGGGUUGGGUUCUAGUGGCGGGCUCUUGGGUCGUCCGGACCCAUAUCUGGUAAAAGUGGUGGCCUGGUUGUCCCCACACCCCCUUAUCAUGUGUGUCUGUGGGAGCAGUUUGCGCCAAAACGCAUACAUCUUGUAAUAAUAUCAUGGAAUGCAUGUUUGAUAAAAUAAAUUAAUAUUUAUAAAUAUAAUAUCAUAACAUUAUUCAAAUAUUUGAUAAAAUUAAUCUAUUAAUUCUAGUUAAAAAAUGAACUAUAUGCAAUGUGAAAUAACAAGCCAAUUCUUCUAAAACAAGUAAAUUAGAAUUAUAAGUAUAAGACAAUUUUAAAAUUCGAAAAAUAAAAAAUAGUUUAACAUAUGUCAAUAUCACGACCCGAAUUUUCCAUCGUCGGGAUCGUGAUGACACUAAGACAACCAAUAUAUACCUAACGCUAACCGAUAUUCAAUACGAUAGAUAAUAAUAAUUAAACCAAAUUAAAGUAAAGAAGUGCGAAAAUUUAUAAUAAUCCAAAAACUAAUACACGACUACCCAAAAUCUGGUGUCAUAAUUCACAAACUUUUAAGAGUCACUACAAAUACUGUUAAAGAAAAUAUAUUUGUUCUCGAAAUAAAAAAAAAUAGGGGAACUGGGAUAAAUGGAAGUGGACUCCAGGAUCUGCGAACACCGACUGAUCUGCCUUGAGUCUUUUGAUGGAGUGAAGAUAUCAAUCAAACUCAAUUUAAGCCUUAAGAACUACCCACAAUACCAAUGAAUUCAAUUUGGAUCAUUUUUUAAAAAGUCAAUACCCAGGAUUGCUUGGUCUAUAUUCGAAAUUCGGACCAAAACCCGAUUAUGCACUCACCCCUAAGCCCGGAUAUAUAACUAGUAUUCGAAUCCAACCUCAAUUAAAGGUCUAACCCCCCAAAAUUUUUAAACUCCUAAGUUCUACCCAAAAUCCUCAAUUCCACCAUGAAAACCCUAAAUUCUAGGAUGAAAUCUUGUAAAAAGAAGUAAAAGAGUAAACGAAAUGAGUUAAGAAUCACUUACUUAUAGUUUCGGGAAGAAUAAAUAAUUGGAAAAUCGCCUUUUAUGAUUUAGGGUUUGAAAAAUUAAAAAUGAAUGAAAAUCUCGUUUAUAUAGCACCCCUCUAAUCUAUACUACGUGGUCCGCGCGUUUCUGGACGCGGUUAAGAACUCCCACCGCACUUCGCAAUAUUAUGGGUGCGGCUACGAAACCUGAGCCUUACCCUAUCGCGGUCACGAAGUCCCUACUGCUAAUGCGUUUUUCUACCGCGGUCUUAAAAUUUCACUCCGUGGCCGCACUACUAAGAUAGAGGCCUGCAAUUUCUUCAACUAUCCAACACCACGUCUUUUUUUAUGUCUAGACAUCCCUUAGCCAAUCCAAAAAUAAUCCGAGCGCUCGGGGCUCCAAACCAGACACGCACACAAGUCUUAACACAUCAUAUGAACUUGCUCGAACGAUCAAAUCGCCAAAAUAACACCUAGCACUACGAAUUUAAAACCAAAUUGCUUGAAAUCUUCAAGAGAGUUUCAAAACUUCUAACUUUUCAAACAAAGGUCCGAAUCACACCAAAUGAGUCACGUCCCUCACAAAAUUUCACAGAUAAGAUAUAUUUAUCAUAAUGGACAUGUACUGGGCUCUGAAACUAGAAUACGGGUCUGAUACCAACAAGAUCAAAUUCUUUAAAUUAUUGCAUUUUCAACCCUUUCAAUUUUCUUCAAAAACUUAUUUUCUCGGGCUAGGGUCCUCAGAAUUUGAUUUCGGGCAUACGCCCAAGUCUCAUAUUUUUCUACGGACCCACCGAGACUGUUAAACAUGGGUCCUAAUUCGUUUACUCAAAAUGUUGUCUGAAGUCAACUAAAAAUCAACUUUGAAAGGCAAAAAUUAUUAUUUUUCUCAAAUUUUUACAUAAAGGAUCUCUGAAAAUGCACCCGAACAGCCACACAAAUCGAGGAAAAAGAAAAUAAGGGUUUGAAGGCCUUGAAACCCCAAAUUCAGUUCUAAAACACAAGAUGACCUUUCGAGUCAUCAUAUUCUCCACCUCUAAAACAACUGUUCGUCUUCAAACGGACAUAGCAAAGUACCUGAGUUACUAAAAAGAUAGGGAUAUCUGCUCCGCAUAUCGAACUCGGACUCCUAGAUAGCUGCCUCAAUAGGCUGACCUCUCCACUGCACAUGAACAGAAGGAUAACUUUUUUAUCUCAAAUGACAAACCUGCAUGUCUAAAAUGGCUACUGACUCCUCCUCGUGGUCAAAUACUUGAUCAGCUGGACAGUGCUAAAAUCUAACACAUGGGAUGAAUCGAUGUGAUACUUCCGAAGCAUGGACACAUGAAACACUAGAUGUAUCGCUGAUAAGCCUGGUGGAAACACGAUUCUGUAGGCCACCUCCCCCACUCGAUCAAGGAUCUCAAAAGGCCAGAUGAACCUGGGGCUUAACUUGCCCUUUUUCCCAAACCGCAUCACACCCUUCAUGGGUGACGCCCGAAGAAACACCCUCUCUCCGACCAUGAAUGCAACAUCAUGAACCUUACGAUCGGCAUACGUCUUUUGCCCGGACUGGGCUAUACGAAGCCUAUCCUGAAUGACCUUAACCUUGUCCAAGGCAUCCUGUACUAAAUCUGUACCCAAUAACCGAACCCCCACCAGCUCAAGCCAACUGGUGAUCGAUACCAUCUACCAUAUAAUGCCUCAUAGGGAACCAUCUGGAUGCUCGAUUGAUAACUAUUAUUAUAGGAAAACUCUGAUAAUGGAAAGAACUGAUCCCAAGAACCUCCAAAGUUAAUAACAUAGGCACGAAACAUAUCCUACAAGAUUUGAAUAGUACGCUCGGAUUGUCCGUCCAUCUGAGGAUGAAAUGUUUUGUUCAAAUCGACUAACGUACCCAACUCAUGCUGUAUUGCCCUCUAGAAAUGUAAGGUAAAAUACUUACCUCAAUUAGAAAUGAUAAACACGGGCAUGCCAUGAAGACGAAUGAUCUCACUAAUAUAAAUCUCUAUCAAUCGCUCCGAAGAAUAUGAAACUGCCACAGGAAUAAAAUGCGCCGACUUGGUCAGCCUAUCCAUAAUAACCCAUACUGCAUCGAACUUCCUAUGAGUCCAUGGGAGUCGAAUAACAAAGUUCAUAGUGAUACGCUCCCACAUCCACUCAGGAAUCUCUAUCUUCUGAAGCAACCCACCAGGUCUCUGAUGCUCGUACUUUACUUGCUGAUAAUUCAAACACCGAGCUACAUAUGCAACAAUAUCCUUCUUUAUCCUCCUCCACCAAUGAUGUUGUCGCAAGUCCUGAUACAUUUUAAUGGCACUUGAAUGAAUAGAAUACCAGGAACUGUGAGCCUCCCCCAUAAUCAAAUCACGAAGUCCAUCCACAUUAGGUACACAAAUGCGACCUUGCAUCCUCAAAACUCCAUCAUCUCCAACUGUAACCUGCUUGAAAUAUUAGUGCCGCACUAUGUCCCUAAGGACAAGCAAAUGAGGAUCAUCAUAUUGCUUGGCCAAAGCCCCAACCUCAUGAAUAAAUUGGCCAAAGCCUGAAUGUCUAAAACAAGAAUUCUCUCACGAACUGGAAUAUAAGCAUGGCUUCCCAUACUAGCUGACUUCCUACUCAAAGCAUCGGUCACCACAUUGGCCUUCCCGGGAUGAUACAGGAUGGUGAUAUCAUAGUUUUUCAAUAGCUCCAACCACCUUCUCUACCUCAAAUUGAGCUCCUUUUGUUUGCAUAAAUACUGCAAACUCUUAUGAUCCGUGAACACCUCACAUGACACGAUAUAUAGAUAAUGCCUCCAGAUCUUCAGUGCAUGAACAAUGGUUUCUAACACUACGCCAUGAACUAGAUAAUUCUUCUCGUGAAUUUUCAAUUUUUCGCGAAGCAUAUGCGAUAACCUUUCCACCACCAUGCAUAAAUACCACACCAAGUCCAAUACGAGAUGCAUCACAAUAUUCGGUAUAGGGUCCUGAACUUGUGGACAACACUAAGACUGGCGUCGUAGUCAAUGCAGUCUUAAGCUUCUAGAAGCUCGCCACUCACUCGUCUAACCAUCUGAAUGGGCAACCUUCUGAUUCAACAUGGUCAUUGGGGAUGCUAUAGAUGAAAACCCUUCCAUGAACUAGUGGUAAUAACCCGCCAUUACCAAUAAACAACUGAUCUCAGUAGCUAAUGUGGGUCCGGGUCAAUCAUUGAUUGCCUCAAUCUUCUUUGGAUCCACAUGACCCUCUUCCGAUACAACAUGACCCAAGAAAGCAAAUGAACUCAACCAAAACUCACAUUUUGAAAACAUAACAUAUAACUGGUUGUCUCUCAAAGUCUGAAGAACGGUCCGAAGAUGCUGCUCAUGCUUCUCAAGGCUGCGGGAGUAUAUCAAGAUAUCGUCAGUGAAGAAAAUCAUAAAGGAAUCCAAAUAGGGUCUGAACACUCAGUUCAUCAAAUCCACGGAUGCUGCUGAAGCGUUCGUCAGCCCAAAUGACAUCACUAAGAACUCAUAAUGCUCAUACUGAGUCCUAAAAGCUGUCUUAGGGACAUCGGAUGGCCUAAUCCUCAACUUAUGGUAUUUAGGUAUCAAAUAAAUCUUCAAAAACACUUUGACACCCCGAAGUUGAUCAAAUAAAUCAUCAUUCCUCGGCAAAUGGAUACUUGUUCUUGAUGGUGUCUUUGUUUAACUACCGGUAAUCUAUACACACCUUCAUCGAUCCAUCCUUCUUCUUUACAAAAAACACCGGCGCACCCUAGGAUGAGCCACUAGGUCUAAUAAAGCCCUUAUCAACCAAAUCUUGCAACUGCUCCUUCAAUUCUUUCAACUCCGACGGGGCCAUACGGUAUGGCGGAAUAGAAAUGAGCUGAGUGCUCAGAGCCAAAUCAACGCAAAAGUCAAUAUCCGAAUCGGGUGGCAUCCCUGGCAGGUCUACAGGAAAUACCUCAAAAAACUUUAGACAACUGGUACGAAAUCCAUGGAAAGAACCUCCACACUGGAAUCAUAAACAUAAGCCAAGUAAGCCAAACACCCCUUCUUGACCAUACGCCGAGCCUUCAUAUAAGAAAUAACCCUACUAGUAGAAUGACCAUAAGUCCCUCUGCACUCCAAUCGAGGAAACCUCGGCAAGGCUAAGUUCACAGUCUUGGAUUGAUAGUUCGGUAUAGCAUGAUAAGGUGACAACUGGUGAUGUCCAAAUCCACCGCUAAAAAGAAAUCGAUGCGGUUGCAACAAUAUAAUUUACCCAACUAUGAGCAGGGGUCGAAUCCCACAGAGAACAAUUUGUACGCGAUUAGGAAUGUAAGAAAGUUAUCGCUAGUUGCGCAGUGCCAAUCACUAAGAAUUUUAGCUGAAAAUUAUUUUAUCUAUAAAAUGCGAUAAUAUAAAGUAACCUAGAAAGCAAGUAAAAUGAUUAAUGGCAACAAGUAUGAAAGCAUCGGGAAUUACACUCAAGUAACGAUCCAAUGUAUUUCACGAUUUUACAAAUAUGAGCGAGUAUAUGUUACUUAGCCACAUAUAAUAAUUCUUAAUUAGCUUCUUCCGAAGAUUAACAGGACUUUCUAAUUGAAUUAUCCCUAAUCACAAUUAGAAGAAUAAGCACACCCGGAAGGCUACAAGUAGAUCAAUCCUAUCCCUUAGUAGAAUAUAUAAAAUGAGGGUUAACGCCUCAAGUUCUUGUUAAUUAAUCUUUCCCAACCCCAAACUAUUUUUCCCAAAAUUAAUUCGGAGCUAAUGGGCGAGUCCUAGGGUUAGCUAAUCCCUUUGAAAACAUUAAGGAACAAGAAUAAUUAAAGAAACAACUUACUUCAUAAAUAUAGAAAAAUCAUUCAAUACAUAAGCACAAGGUAUAAAAUCCACACUUUAAUUAUGAAUAUUCCCAUAAAAAAAAUUUAAGUGUUGGAUAAAAUACUACACACUUAGAUAAAAAUAUAAAGCAAGGAAAUGAACAAAGAAACAUAAAUGGGUAAGAAAAAUCUUAAUCACAAGCUUCAAUCUUCAAGACCCAAGUGUGUUUGUGCAAACCCUAACUCAAGAACUUGUUCUUUCUAGUUUAUACAAACUAAAAAUAAACCAAAGAUCCGUUCCUAAUGAACUGAUUUGGGUAUUAAAGGUUUUGGGGUAAAAGAAUGUGAAAUGCCAAAAUUGCUCAAAACUGUCCCAGAUACAAAGCAUCGCGAUCGCACGACUACGCCUGCGAUCUCGUAGAGUGACGACUGAAGCUUCUGCGAUCGCGUGUGUUAGUCUGCGAUCGCGUAGGUUGACUCGCUGCAUCUCUGCGAUCGCGUGCACUUACCUCCAAUCGCGUUCACCAAUUUUCCAAAAUCAGUGCGAUUACUUCCUCAGUUCUGCGAUCGCGUAGAGUAGUUUUCCAACAGUCAUUUUUUCACAUUUUGGCACAUUUUGACUUGAUUUCUUCCGUUGCUUCUCCAAAUCACGUGACACAUGAAAAUUGCCAAUAAACCUUAGAAAAUGUCCUAGUUUCCUACCUAAAUUACGCAAAAGUUUAAAUAUUAAGAGGAGAUAAGUAGGUAAAAUACCAACUUAUCAAAUCCCCAAACUUAAACUAUUGCUUGUCCUCAAGCAAUUCAAAAACUAAGAACAUCCUUCCUUUCAAUCAUCAUUUAUGCAAUGACAAAUCAAAUAUCAUUCCAAGUCAAAAAAAGACCACUUCAAGCACAAUCAAGUAACUUCGGUUGGUAUCAACAAUUAAACUAAGGCAUAUGAAUUAUCACUUUUGACACACAAUAAUAUUUAUUUUCAAUCAAGUGCUCAACACUAAAUUCAUCAAAGUAGAAACCAAGUUAUGACACUAAAGAUUCAAAAUUUUUCCUCUUCAUCACAUUUGUUUUCCUUCGUUCAUUCCUCCCAAUUAGAAAUGAGAUUAAAUUCACAACUCGAAUUUCAUGUGCCCUCACACUUUAAGAGAGAAUCCCAAACUCACAAAUUGCAAUUCAACACAUACAUGGGAUGGAAAAUGGAAAGAAUUUACUCUCACUCUCUCAGAGAUGUUCAAAUGCACAAAAGUGGUUCCAUCGGCUUGCACUUCAUGUAUUUCUCCAUUAAUGUAGACAACUUGGUUCGAAAUCAAUUAGGACUCAAAAGUUUCUAGUUUAGGCUUUUGGAUUUGGAAAACCUCCCUACGCACUAUACUUUUUCAACAAUUAAAAAUCUACUUCCUUCGAGAACUGUUCCACCCUUUGUUUUUAUAUCACCUAAUCUCCCAUUU
rnacentral:lncRNA from 1 species